rnacentral:rRNA from 1 species
CCUACGGGAGGCAGCAGUAGGGAAUUUUCGUCAAUGGGCGCAAGCCUGAACGAGCAAUGCCGCGUGAACGAGGAAGGUCUUCGGAUCGUAAAGUUCUGUUGAAGGGGAAAAAGAGCGGAGAGAGGAAAUGAACUCCGAUUGAUAUUACCCUUCGAGGAAGUCACGGCUAACUACGUGCCAGCAGCCGCGGUAAGACGAAGGUGGCGAGCGUUAUCCGGAAUGAUGGGGCGUAAAGGGUUCGUAGGCGACCUGCUAAGUCUGGAGUGAAAGGUACCGGCUCAACCGGUACAGGCUCUGGAAACUGGCGGGCUAGAGAGCAGGAGAGGGCGGUGGAACUCCAUGUGUAGCGGUAAAAUGCGUAGAUAUAUGGAAGAACACCAGUGGCGAAGGCGGCCGCCUGGCCUGUUGACUGACGCUGAGGCACGAAAGCGUGGGGAGCAAAUAGGAUUAGAUACCCUGGUAGUC